GUGAAUCAUCGAAUUUUUGAACGCAAAUUGCGCUUUCUGGUAUUCCGGGGAGUAUGCCUGUUUGAGGGUCAGUGAAAUAUAAAUCGGUGUUGUGUCUGCCUUUCGUGGUGACGCGUCGGCAUUGGGUCGUCUUACCGUCGGUUAAGGGACUUAGAGUUUUUGCAUGAUGUUCGCACGUAUUUAAAUCGCUUACGUACGUUUGAGAUAUCGAUUGCUUAUUGUGUUCGGUCAUUCCCAUGAUUCGCGCCUAUAGUUUUUCGUUAGAUUACCUCAAAUCAGGUAAUAUUAC
rnacentral:misc_RNA from 1 species